rnacentral:rRNA from 1 species
UACGGAGGAUGCAAGCGUUAUCCGGAAUGAUUGGGCGUAAAGCGUCCGCAGGUGGCUGUGUAAGUCUGCUGUUAAAGAGUCUAGCUCAACUAGAUAAGAGCAGUGGAAACUACACGGCUAGAGUACGUUCGGGGCAGAGGGAAUUCCUGGUGUAGCGGUGAAAUGCGUAGAGAUCGGUAGGAACACCAAUGGCGAAGGCAGCUUGCUGGCAUGUUUCUGACGCUAAGGCACGAAAGCGUGGGGAGCGAACAGG